GAGUUAUAAUCUAUUAAGCCGCUAACUUAAUUACUAACAAUAAUACUGUUAAUAACUCU
rnacentral:tRNA from 1 species